rnacentral:rRNA from 1 species
UACAGAGGGUGCGAGCGUUGUCCGGAAUCACUGGGCGUAAAGGGCGCGUAGGUGGCUUGAUAAGUAGGGGGUGAAAUCUCGAGGCUCAACUUCGAGGCUGCCUCCUAAACUGUCAGGCUUGAGCAGAGUAGAGGCAGGUGGAAUUCCCGGUGUAGCGGUGGAAUGCGUAGAGAUCGGGAAGAACAUCGGUGGCGAAGGCGGCCUGCUGGGCUCUUGCUGACACUGAGGAGCGAAAGCCAGGGGAGCAAACGGG